rnacentral:rRNA from 1 species
AGAGUUUGAUCCUGGCUCAGAACGAACGCUGGCGGCGUGCCUAAUACAUGCAAGUCGAACGAACUCUGGUAUUGAUUGGUGCUUGCAUCAUGAUUUACAUUUGAGUGAGUGGCGAACUGGUGAGUAACACGUGGGAAACCUGCCCAGAAGCGGGGGAUAACACCUGGAAACAGAUGCUAAUACCGCAUAACAACUUGGACCGCAUGGUCCGAGUUUGAAAGAUGGCUUCGGCUAUCACUUUUGGAUGGUCCCGCGGCGUAUUAGCUAGAUGGUGGGGUAACGGCUCACCAUGGCAAUGAUACGUAGCCGACCUGAGAGGGUAAUCGGCCACAUUGGGACUGAGACACGGCCCAAACUCCUACGGGAGGCAGCAGUAGGGAAUCUUCCACAAUGGACGAAAGUCUGAUGGAGCAACGCCGCGUGAGUGAAGAAGGGUUUCGGCUCGUAAAACUCUGUUGUUAAAGAAGAACAUAUCUGAGAGUAACUGUUCAGGUAUUGACGGUAUUUAACCAGAAAGCCACGGCUAACUACGUGCCAGCAGCCGCGGUAAUACGUAGGUGGCAAGCGUUGUCCGGAUUUAUUGGGCGUAAAGCGAGCGCAGGCGGUUUUUUAAGUCUGAUGUGAAAGCCUUCGG